UACGUAGGGGGCAAGCGUUAUCCGGAUUUACUGGGUGUAAAGGGAGCGUAGACGGCGAAGCAAGUCUGAAGUGAAAGGACGGGGCCCAACCCCGAACUGCUUUGGAAACUGUUUUGCUUGAGUGCGGGAGGGGUGAGCGGAAUUCCUAGUGUAGCGGUGAAAUGCGUAGAUAUUAGGAGGAACACCGGUGGCGAAGGCGGCUUACUGGACCGUAACUGACGCUGAGGCUCGGAGGCGUGGGGAGCAAACA
rnacentral:rRNA from 1 species